AAACUUACUGAGUGUUAUAAAGGAUGGUUUACAUUAUCAAAGUUUCUGUGAUCACAGUAGGAAUUUUGCAUAAGUAAAUUCUAAGUUUUGAAGGUUUGUAAGAAAUGUUUGAGGAAACUUACUGAGUAUUAUAAAGGAUGGUUUACACUAUCAAAGUUUCUGUGAUCACAGUAGGAAUUUAGCAUGGGUAAAUUCUAAGUUUUGAAGGAUUUGUAAGAAAUGUUUGAGGAAACUUACUGAG